CACCUAAGCAUGCACUCAUAAAUCAUAUUCCCACAGGGUUUGCUAGGGCAGAUUGUUUUUCCCUUGUGAUUGAAGGCAGAACAAAUUUUACACUAAACUUAGCUUUUCUCCAGGAGACCCAUAAACCUCAGUACAGGCUAAAGACUGGAGUAAAACCAUGUUGUUUCAAAGAUAAAACACCAAUGAACAUACAGAUAUGAAAAAAAAAUGUGACAUUCUAGACUUACACAAUGGAAAUGUUUAGUCAUCAUACUUCAUAGGAUAAGAGCAGAGCAGGUUGCUCAUUGGGCACUCCUAACUUAAAAUUCCAUAGGUUGGUUUUCUACCCUUCAGUUCUGCUAAGAUCCUAAACCAAAAAUUUGAUGGGAGAUUAAAACUUAUAUAGCUUUGGUGAUGGCUGUUGUUUUUGCAGCUACUUACCCCUGCCUUCUGGUAUUAGAGCCUUUCUUUCUCUGUUCCUCUCAGGAACUCCUCCUCCCACAUCUGAUGGAGCUACCAAUCAUCAGAUCUCCUCUGCCUCUGGGGUGCGUCUCAGGCUGGCCAAUCACGUUCUUCAUCCACGUGGACUAUGACUGGCCCUAGGGAGAAAACAUGGAGAUAUGAAUGACUGUGUGGAGCAGAACCCACCUUCUCCCAGCUCAGCUUUGGACUGUGAGAAACCGAACCCUCACCAAACAGAUCUGCUUGCACAUCCACUUGCACGUAGACCUCAGAUAAGUGAGAUCUGGGACCUGAACUCUGACCACCAUCUUUUGUUCUAAAUUUCUUCCCGCGGGGCGUGGAGAAAGUCACACCCAUGAGCUGGACCUAACAUUCUUUUCUGCUGACCCCAAAUUAUUAAACCUUCUCAAACCAAUUGCAAAUCAGAAAGUCUUUGAAUCUGUCUAUGACCUAUAAGCCCCUGCUUCAAGAUAUCCUGCAGUUUAAGGCCAAAACCAAUGUGUAACCUUGAUUUAUGGUUUUGGCCAUAAAUCAUUGAUUUAUUAUUUUGCCUAUAGCUUCUGCUUUCCUGAAAUUUACCCCUGCUUUACAAACCCUUACCUGCUAGUCAUAGGGAAGGUCAAGGUUUAAGCGUUAGCUUAGCUACCUGAGCCUCCUUGCUUGGCGCCCUGCCAAUAAAACACUUUCUUCUGUUGCAAACCACCAUGUGGAUAUCUGGUCUCACGGUGCCGGGCUAAUAGAACCCAUUUCAGUUCUAUAACAGGUUUGAGGGUUAAGAUAAUUCUUUCUUUUCCUUUAUGGUGUAAAAUCAUCACUCCUGUUUGCAGUAGCCUUUUCUCUUUUUCCCCUUGAUCCCUGCCCCCCACUUCCCUUUCACCCUCUACUUCAUGGUGCAAAAUUGUCAGUAGGUACCAGGCAAGAGUAAUGUGUUUGAUAUAUGGCCUUGGUUAUAUAAACAUCUUUGAAUAAUAUAUAACUAUUUCUGGGUGAGUUGAUUUUGGAAACCUGUGUUCAUAGGAUCAUACUAUCACAUCUCACUCUAUUUCUUACCCUUCUCACCUAAUACUAGAUUUCCCAGCCCUCUUCAUGUUGUUGUAUGUAACUCUGGUUCAUUAUUUCUGACUGUAACAGAGUAUUCCAUAGUAUACCUCCAUCAGAUUUAACGUCUCCAUUCCCACCCACGAUAAACUUACAUUGCCUCUAAAUCUCUACUGUCUUAAUGUUGUGGGCCAUGGUGGCUCAUGCCUGUAAUCCCAGCACUUUGGGAGACUGAGUUGGGAGGACUUCUUGAGCCCAGGAGUUCAAGACCAUCCUGGGCAACAUAGGGAGACCCAAUCCCUACCAAACAUAAAAAUAAAAAAUAAAUUAGCCAAGUGUGUUAGUGCAUGCCUGUGGUCCCAGCUACUCAGGAGUCUAAGGUGGAAAGAUUGCUGGAGCCUUGAGGAGGUUGAGGCUGCAGUGAGCCUUCAUCAUACCACUGUACCUAUAGCCUGGGCAACAGAGCAAGACCCCGGCUCAAAAAAAAAAUGUGAUGGGCACCUUUCAUCUUUGUACAUGUGAUAUGGACAGGAGGCAGGGAAAUACUGGGUAGAAGAGGGUGGUCCCCAGCGAGGGCCACACCCUCAAGCCUAGACCCAUGGCCCAAAGUGAGAACAUGCAUUCCUGUUUUCCUGCCCGAAUGUUGCCUUUUCCAAAACCAUCCUGGCCCUUCCCACCACCCCAUCCUGUACCCAUGAAAACCCCACAGGCCCCACUGGUGGAGUGGCAGAGCGGCAGAAAAAGGAAGAAGAGAAGAAGUAGCUGGACGUCAGAGAGAAGCAGCUUGACUUCAGAGGGAUGGUUUGACAGUGAGAUCUCAGAGAAGAGUUCAGCCGGGGAAGACCGAACUCCAGGGGAAGACCAUCUUCCCAAUCCAUCCCCUUUCCAGCCCCCUAUCCCGCUGAGAGCCA
rnacentral:lncRNA from 10 species